rnacentral:rRNA from 1 species
GAGUUUGAUCCUGGCUCAGAUUGAACGCUGGCGGCAGGCCUAACACAUGCAAGUCGAGCGGAUGAAGGGAGCUUGCUCCUGGACUCAGCGGCGGACGGGUGAGUAAUGCCUAGGAAUCUGCCUGGUAGUGGGGGAUAACGUCCGGAAACGGGCGCUAAUACCGCAUACGUCCUGAGGGAGAAAGUGGGGGAUCUUCGGACCUCACGCUAUCAGAUGAGCCUAGGUCGGAUUAGCUAGUUGGUGGGGUAAAGGCCUACCAAGGCGACGAUCCGUAACUGGUCUGAGAGGAUGAUCAGUCACACUGGAACUGAGACACAGUCCAGACUCCUACGGGAGGCAGCAGUGGGGAAUAUUGGACAAUGGGCGAAAGCCUGAUCCAGCCAUGCCGCGUGUGUGAAGAAGGUCUUCGGAUUGUAAAGCACUUUAAGUUGGGAGGAAGGGCAGUAAGUUAAUACCUUGCUGUUUUGACGUUACCAACAGAAUAAGCACCGGCUAACUUCGUGCCAGCCGCCGCAG